CAGCCGUGUUUUAGAAUGCCAGGCAGCUCCCAUCUCACGCCACGGGAAAUUACACGCCUGAGAUCUGAAAAGUCCAUUCUCACCACCACCACCAUCUCCACCGACACCACCGACACCACCAGCAUGCCGGCCAAGCGCGUGCCCACCAGCGACACCACGGAGGCCCUCACGGCGGAGCUGGAGCCCAUGACUCCCAAGGAGGAGAGGCCUCCUGGGGAGGUGGGCGAGGAUGAAACGCAAAAGACACAGCUCAAGAAGGAACUCGGCUUGCUGGAGGGCGUGGCCAUCAUCCUUGGCAUCAUUGUGGGCUCAGGCAUCUUCAUCUCGCCCAAGGGAGUGCUGAGGGAGACAGGCAGCGUGGGCAUGUCGCUGGUGGUGUGGGUGAUGUGUGGCCUCAUGUCGAUGGUGGGUGCGCUAUGCUAUGCAGAGCUGGGCACAUCCAUACCAAAAUCAGGCGGCGACUAUGCGUACAUUAAUGCUGGCUUUGGCUCCCUCCCUGCCUUCCUUUUCCUCUGGGCUGCCAACCUCAUCUUUGUGCCCACCACCAAUGCCAUCAUGGCGCUGGCCUUUGCCAAGUAUGUGAUUCAGCCGUUCUUCCCCAACUGUGACCUGCCAGACGAUGCUGUGCGGCUCAUUGCAGCACUGUCCAUAUGCUUCCUGACAGCGCUGAAUUGCUGGAAUGUACGAGUCACCACCAAGCUGCAGGAUUUCUUCAUGGUGACCAAGAUUGGUGCAUUGCUCAUUGUCAUCAUUGCUGGCAUCGUCCACCUUUGCAUGGGCAACACUGGGAACUUCCACAACUCCUUCCAGGGCACCAGCACUGAGCCAGGCGAGAUAGCCGUCUCCUUCUACUCAGGCAUAUUUUCCUAUGCUGGAUGGAACUACCUCAACUUCAUGACGGAGGAACUGAAGAACCCAUUUGUUAACCUGCCCCGGGCCAUCUACAUCUCCCUGCCACUGGUGACGCUGGUCUACGUGAUGGCCAAUGUUGCCUACCUGGCUGUGCUCUCCCCUGUCGACAUGCUGGCCUCUGAUGCCAUUGCUGUUACCUUUGCUGACCGUCUAAUGGGGCAGCGGCAGCUGGGUGAUGCCCUUGCUGGUGGCCCUCUCAGCCUUUGGUGGUCUCUCAGUGCACAUCAUGACUUCCUCCAGGCUGUGCUUCGUGGGUGCAAGACAAGGCCACUUCCCAGACAACCUUGCUCUCAUCAAUUGCAAAUGCAACACUCCAAUGUCUUCUCUCAUCUUCCUGGGCCUGUUGUCACUGGUCUACCUCUCCACCACAGACAUCUACCGCCUCAUUGACUACGCCAGCUUUGUAGAGAGUUCAUUCAUCCUGUGCAGUAUCGCCAGUCUGCUGUACAUGCGCUGGAAAUACCCUGACAUGGAGCGGCCCAUCAAGGUGAACAUCAUCGUUCCCAUUGCCUUCCUGCUGGUGUGUGGCUUCCUGGUGUUCCUGCCGCUGUAUGUACGGCCAUAUGAGGUGGGCAUGGGCCUGCUCAUCACUGGCUCUGGGGUGCCCGCCUACUUCCUCUUUGUGUACUGGGAGAACAAGCCAAAAAUUGUCAGAACAGCACUUGACCAACUCACUGUUUGGACACAGUUGCUCUUCGUAUCUGUGAAAACUGAGUGAGGAGUGACUGACUGCACCUCCUCUACCAUUACUACCAUCACUGCUGCUGCUACUGCUGCUGCUGCUGCCCUACCACAGCUGCCAAGAAACGCACUUGUGUGUGUGUGUGUGUGUGUGUGUGUGUGUGUGUGUGUGUGUGUGUGUGUCAUUAUAUCAUACAGCCUUCACAUAUUUUAUCCACUCGGUUAUGGUUCUGUGCAUCAUGGCAAAUCACACUGCUGGUAGACAAUGGAUAUCUGAAAUGUUCCCUACUUUAAUCCCCUCUGAACUGCUGUUACUGCUGCUGCUGCUGGAUCCUUGGUGAUCUGUUUGUAUUUUUGCUCAAGUGGUGUGUGUGUGUGUGUGUGUGUGUGUGUGUGUGUGUGUGUGUGUGUGUGUGUGUGUGUGUGUGUGUGUGUGCUGAUGGACCUUGGGGGGGCAGCUGGGUGGUGUGAACUGUGUUGUCAGUGAUGACAACACACACACACACAUGUGGCAAAAGCAACACAGCAGCAGAUUUGUCAGCCUGGAUAUGCUCUUUGUAAUCUGUGAUACUUUUCAGAAGGGGAAUAUUGAAGGUUUUAUACAUUAUUAGUUAUUGUAUUUUGGUCAUAGGCUGAUUUUGCACCACUUUAGCUUAUAAUUUUAAAUUGGUUCUGAACCCAAGAAAUACUUGAAGGUGCAAUUUUCAGAUAAAUUGAGUAGUAUUCCAAUUGUACAUAGAGAUAACAGAAAGUAAGUGAGAGUAUUACAUAUCUGUUUUAGGUAUUUUGAUUUUUAGGUUUUCACCAAGAGGGUUGUUAGUCCUGGUCUUUGCUUACUGCCUGUCUGGACCUCACAUUGGUGAUGGGAAGCCUCAAGCGUGUGACUGUCUGGCAGCUGUGUGGGCCAUUCUGGAUGAGUAUGUGCUGGAUGGAUGUUAACUGGCACCACAUGAGCUUAUUUGUUGGCAGAUCCAGAUGUUGGGAGUACCACAGUUGCUGAGACAAUGAGGCAGUCCUGUUAGGGAAGUUUAGUGACUGAACACUGAAGGUUGACCAAACUCCUCUUGGGCUACAGCUAUCAUUGUACUCGUAGCUCAAUGGGUAAAGAGUUGUGUACCUUGAAUGUCUUGAUGGGAAUUCUAGUGUUAUUCCCCUUAUGCCUUGCUCAGCAGGUGUCUGUGAGACCUGUGGACGGUGGUGUUAUCACAGUCAAAAAUGUUUUAUUGUCCCACACUUUUUCCCAUUGUCUUUAACAUUUUCCCUUCGUAUUAAGUCCAAUAAUCCACAGACUCUCCUCACAAAUAUAACAGGUGACAGAUGCUAAGGAGGUCACAGGACUUAAGAUUGAGGGAAAUGGUAAACACUGGGAGUGAGUGUGGCAAAUUACAUGACCUCUGACCAGACUAGACCAACAGGAUAAAUGAACAUGGCAUAACUCCAGGCUGUGCUGUGUGGAGGCAGUCCUGGGGUGAGGUGACAGCUGGUGUGACACUCAUAGUCACUGGAGCAGCCAAGAAGCCUCACGACAAUUAUAAAUUAAUUAGCUUUGGCACAAGCCUUUGUUAUCAACUAGGCUUGCCUCCUUCACAAUGCUCCUGUCUUCCCCUCUGGUGGUCAGCCACUGCCUGCACCUCUGCCUUGUAGGGAAUUUACCUCCUGCUCAUGAGUGACACAAUGAAGAAAAGGAAAUAAAUCUACAUCUUUUCAUCUCUGCAUGGGACAAAUGAGGGCUGUGUGUGUGUGUGUGUGUGUGUGUGUGUGUGUGUGUGUGUGUGUGUGUAUUUCAUAAUUUAUCUUAUUUUUUUCCGGGCAUUUAUGGUGCUGAAAGACAAGAAAAUUCAUGCAUACUUUACGAUCACUCAUUAUUAAUCUUUUUAUUUUAUUAUCCUUUUCAUUAUCAUCAAGACCAUGCUGGGCUUUAAUUAAUGUGUGUGUGUGUGUGUUUGUGUGUAAUUAUAGAUAUGUAGUUGUAUUCAUGUCCGGUGGCAAAUCAGAUAUAUUUUGCUCAUUGGUGAGAGAGAGAGAGAGAGAGAGAGAGAGAGAGAGAGAGAGAGAGAGAGAGUAGUUUUGGCCCAACAGUGGGUAAUGAUGAUGUGUAAAGCAUAUUUUUCUAGGAGCAAAUGAGGCAAUGUGUCCGCCAGGCAUCAACAUGUCACUUCAUUGUUACCAUGUUUUUAAGAAUGAAAUAAAUGUGCCUUUUUUACA